UACGAAGGGGGCUAGCUUUGUUCGGAAUCACUGGGCGUAAAGCGCACGUAGGCGGCUUUUUAAGUCAGGGGUGAAAUCCUGGAGCUCAACUCCAGAACUGCCUUUGAUACUGAGAAGCUUGAGUCCGGGAGAGGUGAGUGGAACUGCGAGUGUAGAGGUGAAAUUCGUAGAUAUUCGCAAGAACACCAGUGGCGAAGGCGGCUCACUGGCCCGGAACUGACGCUGAGGUGCGAAAGCGUGGGGAGCAAACAGG
rnacentral:rRNA from 1 species